GGUCAAGCUACAAAGGGCGCAUGGUGAAUGCCUUGGCAUCAGGAGCCGAUGAAGGACGUGAUAAGCUGCGAUAAGCUUCGGGUAGGCGCACAUAGCCUGAGAUCCGAAGAUCUCCGAAUGAGGAAACUCACAUGGGAAACCCCAUGUAUCAUUAAGUGAAUACAUAGCUUAAUGAAGGUAACCCAGGGAACUGAAACAUCUAAGUACCUGGAGGAAGAGAAAGAAAAAUCGAUUUUCUUAGUAGCGGCGAGCGAAAGGGAAAGAGCCCAAACCGGAAACUUGUUUCCGGGGUUGUGGACAUAGCAUGAAAGUGGAGGCUAUUGUAACUGAAGAGAACUGGAAAGUUCCACCGUAGAAGGUAAUAGUCCUGUAAGUGAAACGAGAAGACCACGAGUUAUGAUCCAGAGUACCACGAGACACGUGAAACCUUGUGGGAAGCAGGGAGGACCACCUCCCAAGGCUAAAUACUACCUGAUGACCGAUAGUGAAGCAGUACCGUGAGGGAAAGGUGAAAAGAACCCCGGGAGGGGAGUGAAAUAGAACCUGAAACCGUGUGCCUACAACCGCUCAGAGCCCCUUAUGAGGGUGAUGAGGUGCUUUUUGUAGAACGAGCCAACGAGUUACGGUAUGUAGCAAGGUUAAGUACUUAAGGUACGGAGCCGAAGGGAAACCGAGUCUGAAUAGGGCGACUAGUUGCAUGCCGUAGACCCGAAACCGGGUGACCUAUCCAUGGCCAGGUUGAAGCGAGGGUAAAACCUCGUGGAGGACCGAACCACGUUGCUGUUGAAAAAGCAUGGGAUGAGCUGUGGAUAGCGGAGAAAUUCCAAUCGAACCCGGAGAUAGCUGGUUCUCUCCGAAAUAGCUUUAGGGCUAGCGUCGAGUAUGAGUAGUGGAGGUAGAGCACUGAAUGGGCUAGGGGGCAUAGCGCUUACCGAACCUUAUCAAACUCCGAAUGCCACAUACUUUGAGCUCGGCAGUCAGACUACGAAUGAUAAGAUCCGUGGUCAAAAGGGAAACAGCCCAGAUCGUCAGCUAAGGUCCCAAAGUGUAAGUUAAGUGGGAAAGGAUGUGAGAUUUCUAAGACAACUAGGAUGUUGGCUUAGAAGCAGCCAUUCAUUAAAAGAGUGCGUAAUAGCUCACUAGUCGAGAGAUCUUGCGCCGAAAAUGUAACGGGGCUAAACUUACCACCGAAGCUACGGGCUUGAACUUAGUUCAAGCGGUAGGAGAGCGUCGUAACCGGGCUGAAGUCGUACCGUAAGGAGCGGUGGACUGGUUACGAGUGAGAAUGUUGGCAUCAGUAGCGAGAUGUGGGUGAGAAUCCCACAGGCCGAAAACCUAAGGUUUCCUCAGGAAGGUUCGUCCGCUGAGGGUUAGUCGGGACCUAAGCCGAGGCCGAAAGGCGUAGGUGAUGGACAACUGGUUGAUAUUCCAGUACCACUACCAUCGUUAUUAUCGAUGGCGUGACGCAGGAGGAUAGUGUGUGCUAGCUAUUGGAUGCUAGUCUAAGCGUUUAGGCAGUGAGAGUAGGCAAAUCCGCUCUCAUAAUGCUGAGGCGUGAUGGGGAAGGUUCCACGGAACCGAAGUACAUGAUUCCACGCUGCCAAGAAAAGCGUCUAGAGAGAGAAGUAGUGCCCGUACCGCAAACCGACACAGGUAGGUGAGGAGAGAAUCCUAAGGCCGGCGGAAGAAUUACAGUUAAGGAACUCGGCAAAUUGACCCCGUAAGUUCGCGAGAAGGGGUGCCUACGAGAGUAGGCCGCAGAGAAUAGGCCCAAGCAACUGUUUAGCAAAAACACAGGUCUCUGCUAAAGCGUAAGCUGAUGUAUAGGGGCUGACGCCUGCCCGGUGCUGGAAGGUUAAGGGGAACACUUAGCGCAAGCGAAGGUGUGAACUUAAGCCCCAGUAAACGGCGGCCGUAACUAUAACGGUCCUAAGGUAGCGAAAUUCCUUGUCAGGUAAGUUCUGACCCGCACGAAUGGCGUAAUGACUUGGGCACUGUCUCAACUGUAAAUCCGGCGAAGUUGUAGUGCGAGUGAAGAUGCUCGCUACCCGCGAUUGGACGGAAAGACCCCGUAGAGCUUUACUGUAGCUUAGCAUUGAGUUUUGGUAUUGUCUGUACAGGAUAGGUGGGAGACUAGGAAACCAGGGCGUCAGCCUUGGUGGAGUCAACCUUGGGAUACCACCCUGACAGUACUGAAAUUCUAACUGGCGGCCAUGAAUCUGGUCACAGGACAUUGUUAGGUGGGCAGUUUGACUGGGGCGGUCGCCUCCUAAAAAGUAACGGAGGCGCCCAAAGGUUCCCUCAGAACGGUCGGAAAUCGUUCGAAGAGUGCAAAGGCAGAAGGGAGCCUGACUGCGACACCCACAAGUGGAGCAGGGACGAAAGUCGGGCUUAGUGAUCCGGUGGUACCUCGUGGGAGGGCCAUCGCUCAACGGAUAAAAGCUACCUCGGGGAUAACAGGCUGAUCUCCCCCAAGAGUCCACAUCGACGGGGAGGUUUGGCACCUCGAUGUCGGCUCGUCGCAUCCUGGGGCUGAAGUAGGUCCCAAGGGUUGGGCUGUUCGCCCAUUAAAGCGGCACGCGAGCUGGGUUCAGAACGUCGUGAGACAGUUCGGUCCCUAUCCGUCGCGGGCGUAGGAAAUUUGAGAGGAGCUGUCCUUAGUACGAGAGGACCGGGAUGGACUGACCUCUGGUGUACCAGUUGUUCCGCCAGGAGCACAGCUGGGUAGCUAAGUCGGGAAUGGAUAAACGCUGAAAGCAUCUAAGCGUGAAGCCAACCUCAAGAUGAGAUUUCCCAUAGCGUAAGCUAGUAAGAUCCCUUGAAGAACACAAGGUUGAUAGGUCGGGGGUGUAAGCAUGGUAACAUGUUCAGCUGACCGAUACUAAUAGAUCGAGGGCUUGACCAA
rnacentral:rRNA from 2 species